CCAAAGAAAACCUUAACACAACCGUGUUAUUUCCUCUCUCUCUCUCUCUCUCUCUCUCCUACACAAACCAUAAUCGUUUCUCUCUCCUCUAUCCAUCUCCAAAUCAUGCGCUAAAAUACCUUCAUUCUCCGGUAUACUCCGACAAGAUCUUCAUUGUCCUUGCCUAUAUGUAGAACCUCACCAGUUUUCUCUUUCACUGUAACCGAUCGAACCAAUCUAGCUAAGCCCAGCUCGUGAAAGUCAACCUCGACUCCGAUGGUGGCGGCGGCAAGAUCGAGGUCAUGGGGUUCCGAUCUAUUCAUUUUUUAUGAGAACGAUCCUCCAGCAACUCAAGAGUUGGUAAAUCUAACAUUCUCUCUAGAUUCACCAGAAACGAGUUUAGUCUCAAGUCCAAGUCUACCAUUGGCGUCGAAUUCACCAAUCGCAGUCAAGGCCCAGAUUUGGGACACCAUCGACCAAGAAAGAUCUGGAAAUUCUGGUCACCGGUGCCAAGAUCUGAGUUGAGGAGUCUGCCUUCAAAUCUGUUGCCAUUUUUACCUAGGGUUAGGGUUUUGUACCACCCUAUUCCCUUAGAUCUACCCAUCUAUCGCCAUCUCCAUCUACAUCACUCUCUUUGUUUUUGUUUCCCCUCUCUCUAAAUAUAUAUUUGAUCUCAGAGUUGUUGCAGAUGAAAAUGAUGAUCAGUUGAAUGUGUUGGAUUUUUUAAUUAUUUUUUUAUUUUUUUACAUUUGAGCUCAGAUCUGUUAAAUGUGUUGAAUAUAUGUGUUAGAUCUUGUGUGUAGGUGUGUUGUUGUUGUUGAUAAUGAUGAUUAUGAUGCUAAUAAACAGAUAGGAUUUGGUAAUGA